UUUGGAGGAGCUCCGAAGAUGUGGUGCCACUCGUGCAAGGAAGGGUACGACGAGGAGGAUGCCGGGACCUGCAAGGAGUGCUACGACGAGGCCAGCGAGACGGAGGAGGAGCUCAAGCGCGAGAUCGAGGAGCUCCGCUCCCGCCUCCACUUCCUCCGCCUCCCGUCCCCCACCCUCGACGCCGCAUCCGCCCCCAACUGCGACCUCCUCCUCCACGCCAUCCCCUCCUGCCCCUCCUCCUCCGGCGCGGGAGGCGACGGCGAUGCUGCGCGCACCCCCGACACACCCGC
rnacentral:lncRNA from 1 species